GGGGUCUCGAAAAUUCGUUUCUUCUGAUAUUUCUAUCUUUCUUUUUGAUCAAUGCAAUGGGUUAGCUGGUACAAUGAUUUAUAUACAAGGAUGCAUAGACACAAAAAAGCGUAGUAUACAAAAUUUGAUACUGUAAAAUGAUAAAAUGUGGGUGGUUGACUGAGGAACCGCGCUUUCAAAUUAGAGUCUAAAUUGAGAAACACGAGAACUUUGAACUUGAUUAAUGUUUUUUCAAGCAGAGAAUGAGUCUUAUUCUAUGUUCUUCAUGGCAUUAUGUAUGCGGCAGUGCUAGACCUACAGAAUGGUUCUUUCACAGAACCUUCACAGAAUGACGCGUCGUUUGCCUUGAAGAACGAAUUUUCCCCAAGAACAAAGCCCCAAUAACGAAAGGAAACAACAAUAAAGGAAACGAAAAUUCUCUCACCAUUUGGAACCCUAAAAAUCGCCUCCACCUCUGCCCGGUCGAAAUCCACCUCCGACCAACCGAUCGACGAGUCGCCUCUGUGGAGACCACCUCCGGCAGCUCGAUCGAGGAAUCGCCGCAGCAAAAUCCACAUCUAGCAACCUAUCUUGCUUCCCCUUUUCGUGGAAUCAGAACGUCGUAAUCAUCUCAAAACCCAUUUUCAGUCUGCUGAGUAGUGUCCAACCAGUAUCUGAUAUCUUUUACCUUCAGGUAAGCCGAAUUUCACUUCGUAUUUUAGUUAUUUCCGGAAGCUGGUAUUGUUUGGUAAUUUUGGGAAUAUGGUGGUGUGAAUGGAAGAUUAUGAUUAUGAACGUUAGGCAAAAAUUCGAUUUGUGAAAUUCGAUUUUUGGAAACUUUAGAAUUUGUGCAGUAUUCGGCUAUGUCUUACUCUGUGAUCCAUUUCGCUGGAGGAACAUUUGUGGAAUAUGGUUGCACUAGUUGUGAUGGUUAUGUAUUCAUAUUACUGCGUUCUUGAGAAUUAAAGAAAUGUCUAAGAAAAAUUGAUCUUGCCAUGCCUAUAAUUGUUGUUUUUUAUUUAAAUAAAGAAAUCAUAACAUGAAAAUAGUGAUAAUCAUCUUUCUUUUAUGUUAAGCAAUAUACCUAAAUCCUGUAAACUUUAUCCGUUAUUUAACAUUAUUGAUCAAUCAAACCAAAUUAUCUUUUAGUUCCCUAUAAAUUGGGAAUUUUGUGGACCUUUUAAUUUGUAUUAGAGUAAGGGGUUGAAGCUUUUCUGUAAAGGAAAAUUCCAGUUUUUGUUGCAGCAUUACAGAAUUUAUGUAUUUUUUUAAGUGGGGUUGGUGGUUAUUUUGAUAAUAUGCCAAGUUGAAAGAACAAAGGGACCUUUGAAUUUUGUAGUAUUUUUCACGCUAUCGAAUACAUUGUUUUUUUUCUUCCAGGAUGAGGGGGAGGAAUGUUGGUGUCUGUCACGGCUGUAGAAGUACGAACCAUUCCUUCCUGAAUUGCCCGAUAAAACAACGAUGCCCAUGGUGUACGCAUGGAUUGCAAAAAUAUUUUGAAGUUGAAAGGGAGACAAAGAACAAAGGGCGAUUAUUCAAAACAUGCAGUCUUAACUGUGGGUAUUUUGAUUAGGUCAUAUACAAAGAAUCAAGUGGUGAAUCUAGCAUGACUAAUGAAAUAGUGAAUCUCGAAGCCAUCGAGUAAGCCGAAGAUUUAUCGACCAUGUUCGACAGUCUAGCUUGAAUAGUUGAAAAAAGAGACAUUGAAAUUUCAUUGAACGUGACAUUCCGUAAGCGAAAGGAAAGUGUCGAGGUGAAUGGGAAUGGAAAAAGGAAGGGCCACGCCCCAUAGGUAGUACGCAAAACUGAUAUUUUGCAAACAUGUUUUUGCUUGACGUUUGCUAUCGAAAAACGUAUGUAGAAUAUGGUUUUGUAAUUUAAUGUUUGACUUAAUGUUUGGUGGAAAUAGUUCUUGUUGCCAUAUCAAUAUGUAUGAACCGAGGACAGGACCAGUUGCAACUCUUUGAGACAUGAAACAUUUAUAAAAAAGAGACAAUCUCAACCUUAUGUCCAGAAAUCA
rnacentral:lncRNA from 1 species